UAUUGGUCAAUAGCCUAACCGGCUGAACCAGCAACUUGGAGGAAUGGAUAGGGAAAGCCGGUAAAAGGCAAUGUACCUAGUAGUAUUAGAAAUGAAUAUGAUAUUAACAAAGUUAAUUAAAGUUCGGAGUGGGUAAAUGAUUAUGACAGUAUCUGCUGAUGUCUUGACCAAGUCACGUGCCAGCAGUCGCGGUAAUACGUGGAAGAUAAGUGUUAUUCAUCUUUAAUAGGUUUAAAGGGUACCUAGACAGUUAUUUAAGCAAGAAAUUGUACUAAUUUAACUAGAGUUUAAUAUAGGAAGGGUCAGUACGAUGCGGAGUAGAGAUAAAAUUCUUUGAUUCUUAUGGGGACUGGUAAAGGCGAAGGCAACCUUUUAUCUAAAAACUGACGUUGAGGGACGAAGGCUCAAGGAGAAAAAAGAGGAUUAGAUACCCUUGUAUAGUGGGCAGACAAUGAUGAGUGUCAUAUGUAAGAUAUAUUUUUGUGUAUAAAUGAAAGUGUAAGCACUCCACCUCAAGAGUAACGUGGCAACAUGGGAACUGAAAUCAUUAGGCCGUUUCUGAAACCCGUAGUGAAGUAUGUUGUUUAAUUUGAUAUUCCGCAAAUAACCUUACCACAAUUUGUAUAGCUUGUAAUUUUACUUUGGGUUUUAAAAACUAGUAUGCUAUGUUUAUAUAUUAAUUUAUAUAUCAUAUAGUAGAACUUACAAGCUACAAGCGUUGCACGGCUGUUUUUAGUCAAUGUUGUGAAACUUUGGUUAGGUCCAUUAAAUUGAUGUAAGCCCUUGCUUUAUUUAUUAAAAAGCAGUUCGCCGCUGUAUGGGUAGCGAUAUAAGGGACUAAGACAAGUCAUCAUGACCUGAACAUUGUGGGCUAUAGAC
rnacentral:rRNA from 1 species